CAGAUUGGCUUUCUGGGCGUGGGAGGUUCCUUCUAUUAGUGCUGCUAGAGAGAAAGAAACAGGUUUGCUCUCGUCGCAGAAGGAGUUUAUUUAUUCAACACACGUUUGGUGGGUGCUUAUUGUGAGCCAAGAUACAAAGUCAAAGAAGAUACCAGCCCUGCUUUCAAGGAGCUCCCAGACUGGUGGAAGAAAUAGAGGAGUAGGUGGUCAUCCUGCAAUGAAAGGGGGCGGAGCUACAGGAAUUGGGGUUGUCGGAGCAGCAUACCUGCAGGAGAUACCAAUGUCUCGGUCACAUUAAAUAGUAAGCUAAUGUUUAAGUCUCCUUAAACAUUCAACGCGACCUCCAAGGCAAAGUUGCUGUUGUAGGUGGGCAGCUACGUGGGGUGGGAUAAAGGGUAGAGUUAGCCUUCAGUCACUGAUGAGCCUUCCAAAGUUCAUUUCUCCAUCGAUCUGGAGUUUGAAACCUACUUUGUCAUGGAAGUAGUAGGUGAGGUUUUUCAGGUCACCUCCCAAAUGUCCCUGAAAUGAUACACUAUGUUUACCUGAAGUGAUAUACUCUUGCGUUCAUGUUAUGUUAAUCCAAAUGAAUUAUAGAAGCGUAGUUGCUAAAUAUAGCCAGAUUUAUGUUCCAUCAGCCAGUUGCUUUACUCUCAAGUCCUCAAUACCA